rnacentral:rRNA from 1 species
AGAGUUUGAUCUUGGCUCAGGAAGAACGUUGGCGGCGUGCCUAACACAUGCAAGUCGAACGAUAGUAGCAAUACUAUAGUGGCGCACGGGUGAGUAACACGUAGCUUACCUCCCUCUCAGCGCGGGAUAACGACUCGAAAGAGUUGCUAAUACCGCAUAAGCUCACGGGUUCUAGAGACUUGUGAGAAAAGGCUUCGGUCACUGAGAGACGGGGCUGCGGCCCAUCAGCUAGUUGGCGAGGUAAAGGCUCACCAAGGCGACGACGGGUAGGGGACCUGAGAGGGUGACCCCCCACACUGGGACUGAGACACGGCCCAGACUCCUACGGGAGGCAGCAGUGAGGAAUAUUGCACAAUGGGCGCAAGCCUGAUGCAGCGACGCCGCGUGGGUGAUGAAGGUCUUCGGAUCGUAAAGCCCUUUUCUGCGUGACGAGACAGGACGGUAGCGCAGGAAUAAGUCUCGGCUAACUACGUGCCAGCAGCCGCGGUAAAACGUAGGAGACGAACGUUAUCCGGAGUUACUGGGCGUAAAGGGCGUGUAGGCGGUUUGUUAAGUCUGGCGUGAAGGCUCUCGGCUAAACCGGGAGAGGUCGUUGGAUACUGGCAAACUCGAGGAUGGUAGAGGCGUGUGGAAUUCCUGGUGUAGUGGUGAAAUGCGUAGAGAUCCGGAGGAACACCAGUGGCGAAGGCGACACGCUGGGCCAUACCUGACGCUAAAGCGCGACAGCAUGGGGAGCAAACGGGAUUAGAAACCCCGGUAGUCCAUGCCGUAAACGAUGCCAGCUAGAUGUUCAGUUCUCGCAAGAGAACGGGGUAUCGAAGCAAACGCGAUAAGCUGGCCGCCUGGGGAGUACGGUCGCAAGGCUAAAACUAAAACGAAUUGACGGA